UACAGAGGGGGCAAGCGUUAUUCGGAAUUAUUGGGCGUAAAGGGCGCGUAGGCGGCUUUGCAAGUGACGGGUGAAAUCCCUCGGCUUAACCGAGGAACUGCCUGUCAGACUGUGAGGCUUGAGACCGGGAGAGGUGAGUGGAAUUCCAGGUGUAGCGGUGAAAUGCGUAGAUAUCAGGAAGAACACCCGUGGCGAAGGCGGCCGGCUGGGCCGUCCCUGACGCUGAGGCGCGAAGGCGUGGGGAGCGAACGGG
rnacentral:rRNA from 1 species